GCUUUUCUUCCCCAGGCGGAAAGCGGGAGAAUUCGUCGCUUUGGACGUGACCGCCCUGGCUUAAGCUAUGACCCUCUUUUCUGGAUCUGAUAAGGGCACUGCCUGUCAGAAGGCGGAUUUGUGUGGUGAUGAGUGAGUCUUUUGGAUUGGUAAUGGGACGCGGUGUCAGACUGGAGGUUUAUGAAGUCUCGGGCGGGGAAGGUUUGUGGGACGAAGGUAGGUUAUUGGGGAAUCGGGUGGGGUGAGCUCUGAGGUUAGUAAUCGGAUAAUGGGGUUGUCCGUGGGGUCAGAAAUCGUGUGCAGCGGACUGACUGGGGGCGAGGACGGGGUCAGGGAUUUCGGGGACUCUGAGGACUCGGGGAGGACAGUCACGGGCUAAGUGAGGGAGCAUCCAUGUGGCAGUGAUGUGGCAGGAGGGACUUCCUGGGGGUGUGUAAUUGCCAGGCCCGGGGAUUCGGAUUGGAGGGAGCCCUGGUGGGGUGAGGACAUGGGAGUCGGUCAGCUCUAAUUUUUUCUACAUACCUUAAAAUUUCUACAGGUCAUAGGUAGCCUUAAAGGUCAAGUCCCUUCUCAACCUACUGUUGUGCCCUCAGCCUGGUGCCCUGUCCAAAAAUGAUCAUUUUGGAAUAAGACCAAAGAAAUCAAAAUGAUUUAUUUUGACAAAGCCUGGGAUACGCCAUGUGAGAUAGUCUCCCUGUGGCGGGAGCUGUCACCUCCUCUGAGCCAGUUCGUCAUGUCUACGUGACUCCCUCUGGGACUGAGAAAGACUGACCAGGCAUCUGCCCUUUUAGAAGAGAGCAGAAAAUGAAGUCCCAGGUAAAUUGCUUUGAUUUUUAAUUUUUAAAACUUCUUUUUUUGGUUUUCCAUACAAUCAGAUGGAAGAGUGAAGAUAGCUAAAAUCUGGAUCAAGGAAAGGUAGCCAAAAUAAAUAUCCGGAUGUAGAUAACCUGGCCUGAAAACAUUUAAAAAAGCCAGAUGUACCAAUUUUUCUUAUAUUUCUUGCAGACAUCAUUAGUUGCAUAAUGUGCAGUCCUCUAAAGAGAAAGCAGAUAAAUUUUCCAUGGGAAGAAAUUAUUUAUUUCCAUAUAAGACUAAAAAAUUUUUUUGUGGGGGUCUUUCUCUAGGUGAUGGAGUACACAAUAUUCUUACCAACUCUGCCACCAUAGCACAAAGAAAAACCCACAGACAACGUGUAAACCAAUGGCCUGGCUAUGGCUGUCAGUAAAACCUUACUUACUAAAACAGGUGGAGAAUUGAAUGUGGCCCAUAGGCAAUAGUUUGAUGACUUCAGUUCUAAAGAAUACAGUUUAAGGAGUUUGGCUAUGCCAUCAUGAUAACUUUCCUCUGAAAGAAAUCACUCUUCGGAGUUCCCACUGUGGCGCCAAGGGAUAGGCGGUUACUUUGGAGUGCUGGGACAUGCUGGGACAUAGGUUCAAUCCCUGGUCUGGCACAGUGGGUAAAGGAUCCAGCACUGCAGCAGCUGUGGCUUAGGCUACAACAGUGGCUUGGAUCUGACCCAUGGCCCAGGAACUCCAUAUGCCGAGGGGCAGCCAAAAAAGAAAAAA
rnacentral:lncRNA from 1 species